GCCAGCGUAGCUCAGUGGUAGAGCAGCUGAUUCGUAAUCAGCAGGUCCAGGGUUCAAGUCCCUGCGCUGGCU
rnacentral:tRNA from 4 species